rnacentral:rRNA from 1 species
CCAGACUCCUACGGGAGGCAGCAGUGAGGAAUAUUGGUCAAUGGCCGGAAGGCUGAACCAGCCAAGCCGCGUGAGGGAGGAAGGCGCAGAGCGUCGCAGACCUCUUUUGCCGGGGGACAAAAGGCCGGGCUCGUCCGGUCCUGAGGGUACCCGGAGAAAAAGCAUCGGCUAACUACGUGCCAGCAGCCGCGGUAAUACGUAGGGGGCAAGCGUUAUCCGGAUUCACUGGGUGUAAAGGGAGCGUAGACGGCGACGCAAGUCUGGAGUGAAAGCCCGGGGCCCAACCCCGGGACUGCUCUGGAAACUGCGUCGCUGGAGUACGGGAGGGGCAGGCGGAAUUCCUGGUGUAGCGGUGAAAUGCGUAGAUAUUAGGAGGAACACCGGUGGCGAAGGCGGCUUACUGGACUGUAACUGACGUUGAGGCUCGAAGGCGUGGGGAGCAAGCAGGAUUAGAUACCCCCGUACC